AUUGAACGCUGGCGGCAUGCUUUACACAUGCAAGUCGAACGGUAACAGGUUAAGCUGACGAGUGGCGAACGGGUGAGUAAUGCAUCGGAACGUGCCCGGUCGUGGGGGAUAACGCAGCGAAAGCUGCGCUAAUACCGCAUACGAUCUGAGGAUGAAAGCGGGGGACCGUAAGGCCUCGCGCGAUCGGAGCGGCCGAUGUCAGAUUAGGUAGUUGGGGGGGUAAAGGCUCACCAAGCCAACGAUCUGUAGCUGGUCUGAGAGGACGACCAGCCACACUGGGACUGAGACACGGCCCAGACUCCUACGGGAGGCAGCAGUGGGGAAUUUUGGACAAUGGGCGAAGGCCUGAUCCAGCAAUGCCGCGUGCAGGAAGAAGGCCUUCGGGUUGUAAACUGCUUUUGUACGGAGCGAAAAGGUCUCCUCUAAUACAGGGGGCUCAUGACGGUACCGUAAGAAUAAGCACCGGCUAACUACGUGCCAGCCGCCGCAGUAG
rnacentral:rRNA from 1 species